rnacentral:rRNA from 1 species
GGCCUAACACAUGCAAGUCGAACGGUGAUAGAGGAGCUUGCUCCUCUGGAUCAGUGGCGAACGGGUGAGUGACACGUGAGUAACCUGCCCUUGACUCUGGGAUAAGCACUGGAAACGGUGUCUAAUACCGGAUACGACCCUCGGAGGCAUCUCCUGGGGGUGGAAAGAAUUUCGGUCAAGGAUGGACUCGCGGCCUAUCAGCUAGUUGGUGAGGUAAUGGCCCACCAAGGCGACGACGGGUAGCCGGCCUGAGAGGGUGACCGGCCACACUGGGACUGAGACACGGCCCAGACUCCUACGGGAGGCAGCAGUGGGGAAUAUUGCACAAUGGGCGCAAGCCUGAUGCAGCAACGCCGCGUGAGGGACGACGGCCUUCGGGUUGUAAACCUCUUUUAGUAGGGAAGAAGCGAAAGUGACGGUACCUGCAGAAAAAGCACCGGCUAACUACGUGCCAGCAGCCGCGGUAAUACGUAGGGUGCAAGCGUUAUCCGGAAUUAUUGGGCGUAAAGAGCUCGUAGGCGGUUUGUCGCGUCUGCUGUGAAAACUGGAGGCUCAACCUCCAGCCUGCAGUGGGUACGGGCAGACUAGAGUGCGGUAGGGGAGAUUGGAAUUCCUGGUGUAGCGGUGGAAUGCGCAGAUAUCAGGAGGAACACCGAUGGCGAAGGCAGAUCUCUGGGCCGUAACUGACGCUGAGGAGCGAAAGCAUGGGGAGCGAACAGGAUUAGAUACCCUGGUAGUCCAUGCCGUAAACGUUGGGAACUAGAUGUAGGGACCAUUCCACGGUUUCUGUGUCGCAGCUAACGCAUUAAGUUCCCCGCCUGGGGAGUACGGCCGCAAGGCUAAAACUCAAAGGAAUUGACGGGGGCCCGCACAAGCGGCGGAGCAUGCGGAUUAAUUCGAUGCAACGCGAAGAACCUUACCAAGGCUUG